rnacentral:rRNA from 1 species
UACGAAGGGGGCUAGCGUUGCUCGGAUUGACUGGGCGUAAAGGGCGCGUAGGCGGAUGGUACAGUCAGACGUGAAAUUCCUGGGCUCAACCUGGGGGCUGCGUUUGAUACGUGCUGUCUGGAGUUCGGAAGAGGGUCGUGGAAUUCCCAGUGUAGAGGUGAAAUUCGUAGAUAUUGGGAAGAACACCGGUGGCGAAGGCGGCGACCUGGUCCGAUACUGACGCUGAGGCGCGAAAGCGUGGGGAGCAAACAGG